GUACGGUAGUGCCACUCAAAACC
rnacentral:miRNA from 1 species